UACGAAGGGUGCAAACGUUGCUCGGAAUUAUUGGGCGUAAAGCGCGCGUAGGCGGCUCGGAAAGUCGGUCGUGAAAUGCCGGGGCUCAACCCCGGGACUGCGUCCGAUACUCUCGAGCUGGAGGCAGGUAGGGGAGAUCGGAAUUCCUGGUGUAGCGGUGAAAUGCGCAGAUAUCAGGAGGAACACCGGUGGCGAAGGCGGAUCUCUGGGCCUUGCCUGACGCUGAGGCGCGAAAGCUAGGGGAGCGAACAGG
rnacentral:rRNA from 1 species